rnacentral:rRNA from 1 species
GACGAACGCUGGCGGCGUGCCUAAUACAUGCAAGUUGAGCGCUGAAGGUUGGUGCUUGUACCUACUGGAUGAGCAGCGAACGGGUGAGUAACGCGUGGGUAAUCUGCCUUUGAGCGGGGGACAACAUUUGGAAACGAAUGCUAAUACCGCAUAAAAACUUUAAACACAAGUUUUAAGUUUGAAAGAUGCAAUUGCAUCACUCAAAGAUGAUCCCGCGUUGUAUUAGCUAGUUGGUGAGGUAAAGGCUCACCAAGGCGAUGAUACAUAGCCGACCUGAGAGGGUGAUCGGCCACAGUGGGACUGAGACACGGCCCAAACUCCUACGGGAGGCAGCAGUAGGGAAUCUUCGGCAAUGGACGAAAGUCUGACCGAGCAACGCCGCGUGAGUGAAGAAGGGUUUCGGAUCGUAAAACUCUGUUGGUAGAGAAGAACGUUGGUGAGAGUGGAAAGCUCAUCAAGUGACGGUAACUACCCAGAAAGGGACGGCUAACUACGUG